AACGUAGGAGACAAACGUUAUCCGGAGUUACUGGGCGUAAAGGGCGUGUAGGCGGUUUGUUAAGUUUGGCGUGAAAGCUCUCGGCUAAACCGGGAGAGGUCGUUGGAUACUGGCAAACUAGAGGACGGUAGAGGCGUGUGGAAUUCCGGGUGUAGUGGUGAAAUGCGUAGAGAUCCGGAGGAACACCAGUGGCGAAGGCGACACGGUGGGCCGUACCUGACGCUAAAGCGCGACAGCAUGGGGAGCAAACGGG
rnacentral:rRNA from 1 species